rnacentral:snoRNA from 1 species
AAGACUCUACUUUCAGGGAUCAUUUCUUUAGUCUGGAACUAGAGGAUUGUGUUUCUACAGAGGUUGGUCUGGCUGUCCAUGAUGAUGAUGAUGAAGAUGUUUCCUUCAGAGCAGGAAGCUGGUGAGAAGAUGAGAAUCUUCUUCACUGAUGAAGACUGUUCAGUGUUUCUGGAUGUGACACUGAGGGAGGAAACAUUGUCUGAGUGGA